CAAUAGCGUAUAUUAAAACUGUUGCGGUUAAAACGCUCGUAGUUGGAUAUUUGUUGGAGAGCGCUGGUCCACCCCAGCGGUGCGUACUUGGUGCUUCUUUGACAUCUUACUGGAGAAAGUACGUGCGCUUCACUGCGUGCGUGCAUGAACCAGAACUUUUACUUUGAGGAAAUGAGAGUGUUUCAAGCAGGCCAUUGCCAUGAAUACGUUAGCAUGGAAUAAUAACAUAGGACCUUGAGUCGUUGUUGUUGGUUGACGACACAAGGUAAUAAAAAUAAGGGAGUAUUGGGGGUCGAUUCGUAUUACAAUAGUCAGAGGUGGAAAUUACUUUGG
rnacentral:rRNA from 1 species